rnacentral:rRNA from 1 species
CUCAAGUUGGUUCUCUUUUUGGUCCAGUUAUUUUUCUCGUUGGUUCAGCAACUGUCAGUCGGCUCGGCCCACGACGAUAAUCUGCGUUAAGGUCAGGUAUUACUCCGGGAUAGUUCUUAUCAUCCGGAAAAAGUCAUGGAUUAAAGGAUUUUGUGGGAUUAAAACCUGCAUCCCCUCCAGGAUGGUAUUGCGUCUGAUCAGUCUGUUGGCGGGGUAAGGGCCCACCAACCCUGUAACCAGUACGGUCCUUGAGAGAGGGGGCCGGGAGAUGGACAUGGAGAGAAGGGUCCAGGUCUUACGGGGCCAAGCAGGCGGGAAACCUUCGCAAUGCGAAAAAGCGAUACGAGGAUAUGAGAGUCAGCACGCUGAGGGGCUGUUUGUCAGCAUGAAAAUAGGCGGCCGACAUAGGGA